ACUCCCGAGGAUUUCGCAGGUCCUGGCGCGGGAGAACCCUAUCCUCGAAUCCUGUUGCAGGACAAUGGAGGGGAAGAGGUCGUCCACAGUAGAGGGUUAUACAAGUGGUUUUAAACAAAAUUUCAACAGAUAUGGUCAACAAAGUGAUGUUGGUGGUACCGGGUUGGUCUUCACAGAUCUGAAACAAGCACCUUUUCCAAGACGGUAUUAUCGUCGGUGAAUAAAUAAAUUAUUGGUGGUGGUGGUGGUGUUUCCUGUUUUAUUGUAAAUUUAAUUCAUUUAUUUAAGUAAUGAA